rnacentral:rRNA from 1 species
GACGAACGCUGGCGGCGUGCCUAACACAUGCAAGUCGAACGGAAAGGCCCUGCUUUUGUGGGGUGCUCGAGUGGCGAACGGGUGAGUAACACGUGAGUAACCUGCCCUUGACUUUGGGAUAACUUCAGGAAACUGGGGCUAAUACCGGAUAGGAGCUCCUGCUGCAUGGUGGGGGUUGGAAAGUUUCGGCGGUUGGGGAUGGACUCGCGGCUUAUCAGCUUGUUGGUGGGGUAGUGGCUUACCAAGGCUUUGACGGGUAGCCGGCCUGAGAGGGUGACCGGCCACAUUGGGACUGAGAUACGGCCCAGACUCGUACGGGAGGCAGCAGUGGGGAAGAUUGCAGAAUGGGCGGAAGCCUGAGGCAGCAACGCCGCGUGCGGGAUGACGGCCUUCGGGUUGUAAACCGCUUUCGCCUGUGACGAAGCGUGAGUGACGGUAAUGGGUAAAGAAGCACCGGCUAACUACGUG